GUGAGUGUAGCUCAGUUGGCAGAGCACCAGGUUGUGGCCCUGGUGGCCGUGGGUUCAAGUCCCAUCACUCACCCCA
rnacentral:tRNA from 1 species